AUUGAACGCUGGCGGCAGGCCUAACACAUGCAAGUCGAGCGGAUGAGAAGAGCUUGCUCUUCGAUUCAGCGGCGGACGGGUGAGUAAUGCCUAGGAAUCUGCCUGGUAGUGGGGGACAACGUUUCGAAAGGAACGCUAAUACUGCAUACGUCCUCCGGGAGAAAGCAGGGGACCUGCGAGCCUUGCGCUAUCAGAUGAGCCUAGGUCGGAUUAGCUAGUUGGUGAGGUAAUGGCUCACCAAGGCGACGAUCCGUAACUGGUCUGAGAGGAUGAUCAGUCACACUGGAACUGAGACACGGUCCAGACUCCUACGGGAGGCAGCAGUGGGGAGUAUUGGACAAUGGGCGAAAGCCUGAUCCAGCCAUGCCGCGUGUGUGAAGAAGGUCUUCGGAUUGUAAAGCACUUUAAGUUGGGAGGAAGGGCAGUAAGUUAAUACCUUGCUGUUUUGACGUUACCGACAGAAUAAGCACCGGCUAACUCUGUGCCAGCCGCCGCAGUAAAAC
rnacentral:rRNA from 1 species